rnacentral:rRNA from 1 species
UACAGAGGUCCCAAGCGUUGUUCGGAUUCACUGGGCGUAAAGGGUGCGUAGGUGGCGGGGUAAGUCUGAUGUGAAAUCUCCAAGCUUAACUUGGAAAUGGCAUUGGAAACUACUCUGCUCGAGGGUUGGAGGGGGGACUGGAAUGCUUGGUGUAGCAGUGAAAUGCGUAGAUAUCAAGCGGAACACCAGUGGCGAAGGCGGCUCUCUGGGACGGUACUGACGCUGAGACGCGAAAGCGUGGGGAGCGAACAGG